CAGCUCCUCCUGAAACACACCAACACAUGCAGUCAGUUAUUCAAAGUGUGUCUUCAGCACAAUUUCUUUUUAAUCAAUUCAAAACAGAGUUUCUUAAUUACUUUUAGGGCUGCAACAACGAAUCGAUAAAAUCGAUAAUAAUCGAUUAUUAAAAGCGUUGGCAGCGAAUUUCAUUAUCGAUUCGCCAUGUCGCGGAGCCGUCUACUUCACCUGCAGAGCUUUGUCAAUGCUGGCUGACGGAAGUUUUUUUUUUUUUUUUUUUUUUUUUAAUAAAUAAAUCCACCUGUAGAGCGAAUUAAACAGAGCGAGGUGGCGGCAAAGCGAACGUAAAUUCAGAGUAAAUUCAAAGAAACAUGACCGACACGGAGAAAACAGUUAGACCGAAAUCCUCAAAAGUGUGGCAGCAUUUCACGCUUCACAAAACAAAAAACGCGUAACUGCAAGCUUUACAAAAGUAAUACGAGAUGGAACAGGAGCACCACGAUGAUGAUGCAGCACCUGAAACGGAACAUGUCACAGACGAGGACGAAGGAGCUCAACAGCAGCAAAAAAUGACAGGCUUCAUGAUGAGAAAGACAUCAUGUCCACCACAGCAAGCAGCUGUCUUGACUGAUCAUCAUUGACACGAGGCCUCUGUUGAUGGUUGAAGACAAAGGCUUCACUACAGUGAUCUUAUUUACUCUGUGAGUCCAAAUCUUCUCUUUCGGAAUAAAGCGGCGGAAAUUAAAAAUGUGUUUUUUUUGUUUUUUUU